rnacentral:miRNA from 1 species
GCUACUUUUAAAAUUGGUUAUUUAAGAAUCGAUUUUGUAUACUAAAUACAAAAUCGGUUCUUAAAUAACCAUUUUAAAAGUAUC